rnacentral:lncRNA from 1 species
GGGACACCUGCAACAUGUUUAUAUUUAACAUUUUAUUUGAACCCUGUAGAAAUUUUUUCUAAGAAUCACACUUACCUAUAAUACAAUAAUUAAUUUUCCAUUUGUAUUAGUGCAUCAGGCGGUACAUGAGCAGAGCGCCCCCUGGCGGCCGCCCGUCCCGAGCCGCCCAAGCCCGGGAGCCCAACUGUCGGGCCCUGUUCGUUGAGGCCAGCGACCCGCAAUGCUGUCUCUCCUGCUGCUACUCUCCGGCCUGGCCCGGCUCACCGCCCCCUCUGGCCCGCAUUCUCAGAAACUGCAGAUAACGGUGCCGCACAAGGUGGAGAGCGACACAGAGGAUGGGGACGCACAGAGGACGCAGGUCACUUAUGUCAUCGAUAUUGAAAAGAAAAGUUACACUCUCCACCUUGAAAAACAGGAUAGAACUCAAGUCCUUGUGCUUGUGAGGCAGCCAGUGGAACCACUGAGCUAAAUCCUGGGCCCUGAAGCAUAUAUUCUUUUAGAUACAUGGGAACCCUAUCAUUAAGGCUAAUGGUGGUUUUACCUAGGAAAAGAAAAAUACAUACACACCAAGGAACAUUUUUCAGUUUCUUGGCAAAAUACAAAAGGGAGGAAAAACUAUUUGACUCUUUAGUACCAUUGUCUUCAACUUUUAUGUUAGAUCAAUGUAAAAUAUAUUCAUAUUUUUAUAAAACUUGAGUGAAUACAAUGCAGAUGUAAACACUACUUUCUAUUUAAAGUAAACUAGCUUUUUACAAAUAAUAUGAUGAAAAAGAGAGAAAAAUAAAGAAAAGAAAGAUACAUGUUCUCUCCAGAAAAGAGGCCAGUGGGUUUCUCUACCAGGUAGUCUAGGUGAGGCAGGCGGGCCUCCCAUGCUGAGUCUCAGCUGUGCUAAUUCCUUCCCUGCCUGCUGUGGACCCCCAAAUAAUGGUCCAUGGGAUCUUGAAAAACAAGACUGAUCUGGCCUUUACAUUUCACAGAAGCUUUGAAGGAACUAUCAAGUAGUAACGAUUCAGUUAUUCUUUGUAGCUAUUGUUACUCUGAACAAUGACAGAAGUGAAGGUCUUCAUGGACUAUGAUGUCUUCACUGAUCUGUCUACUUCCCCAUGAACACCUAGUAGAGGAAAAUGGUAAGGCAGGCUAGGGUGGAACACAGAAAUCCAGAUUCAAAAGUGCAUAGGUACGAGUUGAUUACUCAACUACAAAGAGCUCUUUUUAAAGCACAACUGAUUUUUAGCAAGUGCAAGGUAUCAAAAGACCUUCAUUUUGAUUUUAUAAAAGUAGGCUCUGUUGUGUGACAAACUACAAGUGACUGAAAAACCAAGACUGCAUGCUUUCUAAGCCUAAAAAUAACCAGAAGUAGAGUCAAACAUGAACUUAUAUUUCAACAGGAUGGUGAUAAACAGAAAUUAAGGGAGAUAAUAUGCUGAAGAAUGAGGAAACCCAUAUAAUGGCUUAUGCUGACAGUGAAAAACUCUUCACCUUAUAAUGGUAAAAAAAUAUGUGUUAGUUCUUUCACUCUGAAAGAAGCUAUUGGCCAUUAAAUCUGCCAUGAAGGUCUUUGAAUUGUUAAAACAUGAUGUGGCAUCAAAAUAUUAAUUUGUAUAUCAGAUUAUAAAACUAAAAGCUCCAUGUUAACUGGCUAAUUUAAAAGACAGGAAACAUACUCAUUUAAUAUCUUAUCCCAAUUACUCUUCCAGGAAAGUAGGGAAGAGAGGGGUGUUUGGAAAUGCAUUAAAACAUAAUAAUCAGAAUAAUAAAAAAAAUCUGAAAGGAAAGAUCAAAGACCACUAGUCUAAAUGAAUUGCAGGAAAAUAGGAGAAAAUACCAAAACUACUUUGCUCUACCAUGCAUACACACAGCAACCCACGAUCAUUUCCUAGAUUACUUUUGGCCUUUCUUCAAUUGGCCUUAAUUACUUAUAAAGUGUGCAACACAAUUAGGGAGGAUUUGUCUUCAAUUUAACUCUGAGAGAAGCAUGAGUGGAUGUAAAUUCUAAUCACAGACCACUGUAGAUCAUCACAGCCAUUAAAAACAAUUCCUAGUCUUGAGAAUCUUUCACACAAGUCACCUGCUAACCUUUGGAUCCAGGUUUUAGACUUGCAAAAANNNNNNNNNNNNNNNNNNNNNNNNNNNNNNNNNNNNNNNNNNNNNNNNNNNNNNNNNNNNNNNNNNNNNNCCUGCUGAAGAAAGACUGGCCCCCUAGUUUCUCCCCCAGGUAGGUGAGGCUGUGGUAGACCUUCUCGGCCGCGGCUAGGUGCGCCAAGGCCACCAGCAGCGACAGCCAGCUGGCCCCAGCGCUCUUGUUGGCCUCUCGUUCCUUCUCCACAUUGUCCUUGGCUUUGUCAUAAGACAAGAUACCCAGGUGAGAGAAGAACAUCUCCAGCACCGCCUGUUCCACGGGGACUGGGGCGGCAAGCAGAGACUCCCCCAUGUGAACUGCGCUCCAGCUCGACCUGCGUGGCUCUGCUCUCCCUCGCACUUCCCUACAGUAUAUACUUUUAAUCUAUUAUUUUUUUCUUUUUUUCAUCCUGUACGGAAAUCUGUAUGAGUUAUCUUGUAUAUAUGUUUCCAUACUUUGAAAUUCUAAAUGACUCUUUCCUUCACCUAAAACAUGUGGACACUUAUGAAAAAUGUUUUAUUUUUACAAAUGGGUGGUAUUUUAAAGUAGCAAUUUUUACUUCAUCAUUUAUGUACUUUUCCUCUAUGUGUAAUCUUAACUCAUCUGUUUGAUAGAUACCAUUCCAUAGUGUGUAAAAUUGAUAGGUAAUUAAGUUAUUUUAAAGGAUUGAAACAAUAAAUUUCUCCAAUAAAUAUCUUACAUGUAUAUUCUUAUAAGUACAUAAGAAUAAGUCUGUAAAGCUUUUGUUCUACAAAUAGCAAACACUGGUUUAUGGAUCAAAGUAUAAACUGAGUUAAUUUGAACAGCCUCUAAAGCAGAUUGCUUUCUGAAGCAAUAACAGCAAAUUAGAUCUCCAAAAGUGUGCUUGAUGUGCUAAAAAAUUUUUUUGUUCAUCUUCAUUUCAAUUUGUAUAUGUCUGAGUUUGGAUUUUUGGAUUUUCCUGUACAAGGCUGUCUAUUCAGAGUUGGUACUUUUUUAUUAUGGUUUUCUAAUUGAAUGGUUAACAAAGCAAAAAAAUAUCUGAG